GAUUCCUAAGCGUCCUAAACAUGCAGUCGAGCGGACAGAUGAGACCUGGUUCCUGUAUACGUUCGCCGCAGAGGUGUGUGUCACACUGUGGUUCCCCUACUGUAUGACAGUGGAUAUCUCUUCGGAGAACCCGGAGUCUUAUCCCGAGUGUUAUAUAUGAACACCGCUGGGGUCUCUUUUGUGAAGUGGCUUUUUGCUGCCACUUAUAGAUGGAUCCGCGCCGCAUUAGCUAGUUGGUAAGGUAACGGCUUACCAAGGCAACGAUGCGUAGCCGACCUGAGAGGGUGAUCGGCCACACUGGAACUGAGACACGGCCCAGACUCCUACGGGAGGCAGCAGUAGGGAAUCUUCCGCAAUGGGCGAAAGCCUGACGGAGCAAGCCGCGUGAGUGAUGAAGGUCUUCGGAUCGUAAAACUCUGUUAUUAGGGAAGAACAAAUGCGUUAGUAACUAUGCGCGUCUUGACGGUACCUAAUCAGAAAGCCACGGCUAACUACGUGCCAGCAGCCGCGGUAAUACGUAGGUGGCAAGCGUUAUCCGGAAUUAUUGGGCGUAAAGCGCGCGUAGGCGGUUUUUUAAGUCUGAUGUGAA
rnacentral:rRNA from 1 species